AAAGAUAAUCUGAUUCGUAGGAGGUGGAAGGGAGAUGAUAAAUGCCCAUUUUGUGGGCAAAAAGAGGACAUAAACCAUCUUUUUUUGGCUUGUUCGGUUGCUAGAUUAUUAUGGAACAUAUUAAAAUGUGCUUUCAAUCUUAAGGACAUUCCAGAUACACUAGAUGCUGUUAUGAGAACUUGGGUAAAUACCUUUGGAAAAGAUGAAAAAAGUCUGGUCAUGAUAGGAGUUUCAGCGGUCUGCUGGACUAUCUGGAAACUUAGGAAUAGUGUGAUAUUUGACAACAAUAGGGUGAAUGAUCCCUGUGUUCCUGUUUCCCUGCUUAUUAAAAACCUAAAUGAUUGGAAUAUUUUGCAGACAAAUCCUGCAAGAAGUAAGCUUAAUGGAGGCUGGAGUGAAGCUAGUAAGUGA
rnacentral:rRNA from 1 species